rnacentral:rRNA from 1 species
AUUGAACGCUGGCGGCAGGCCUAACACAUGCAAGUCGAGCGAGUGGCGGACGGGUGAGUAAUGUCUGGGAAACUGCCUGCUGGAGGGGGAUAACUACUGGAAACGGUAGCUAAUACCGCAUACCAUCAGAUGUGCCCAGAUGGGAUUAGCUAGUUGGUGGGGUAACGGCUCACCAAGGCGACGAUCCCUAGCUGGUCUGAGAGGAUGACCAGCCACACUGUAACUGAGACACGGUCCAGACUCCGACGGGAGGCAGCAGUGGGGAAUAUUGCACAAUGGGCGCAAGCCUGAUGCAGCCAUGCCGCGUGUAUGAAGAAGGCCUUCGGGUUGUAAAGCACUUUCAGCGGGGAGGAGUUACGCGCAGAAGAAGCACCGGCUAACUCCGUGCCAGCAGCCGCGGUAAGAC